rnacentral:rRNA from 1 species
GACAGAGGGUGCAAACGUUGUUCGGAAUUACUGGGCGUAAAGCGUGUGUAGGCGGCCAUGAAAGUCGGAUGUGAAUGCCCCAGGCUCAACCUGGGAAGUGCACCCGAAACUCCAUGGCUUGAGUAUCGGAGAGGUUGGUGGAAUUCUCGGUGUAGAGGUGAAAUUCGUAGAUAUCGAGAGGAACACCGGUGGCGAAGGCGGCCAACUGGACGAAUACUGACGCUGAGACACGAAAGCGUGGGGAGCAAACAGG